CCGAGUGAGGGCCUCUGGCCCGACCUCCAACCCUUUGUUGACCAACACUUGUUGCCUCGGGGGCGACCCGGACGCCGACGCGUCGGCCGUCGGGCACCCCGAUGGACCAUUCCAACUCUGUGUCCAUACGUCGGAGUACUUGAUGAAUCAAUCA
rnacentral:misc_RNA from 1 species